CCCUUAGAUGUUCUGGGCUGCACGCGCGCUACACUGAUGCGCUCAACGAGUUUACGACCUUGCCCGGAAGGGUUGGGUAAUCUUUUUAAAACGCAUCGUGAUGGGGAUAGAUUAUUGCAAUUAUUAAUCUUUAACGAGGAAUUCCUAGUAAGCGCGAGUCAUCAGCUCGUGCUGAUUACGUCCCUGCCCUUUGUACACACCGCCCGUCGCUCCUACCGAUUGGGUGAUCCGGUGAAUAAUUCGGACUGCAGCAGUGUUCAGUUCCUGAACGUUGCAGCGGAAAGUUUAGUGAACCUUAUCACUUAGAGGAAGGAGAAGUCGUAACA
rnacentral:rRNA from 1 species